UUUUUGGCUUGGUUUAGGAUGUCAAUGGAUAUUAUAAAAGGAAACCUAGAUGGAAUUUCAAAACCAGCCUCAAGUUCAAGAUCACGUCCUGGGAGCCGAAGUUCAAACGGUUCUCUGGAGGUGCUCUCGCCAGAACCAGGGCCUGUCAAGAUUGACAUGGUGAACAAGCUGAAUUCUGGCAAAGAGGGCCACACAUCGGACAGUAGAGUGGAAGAAAGAAGGAAGAUCAGUGACGACGAGUGGGCGGACAACCCCAGGAGCACAGAACCAGCCCAAGAGAGCUCAGACGAAGACUCGAACCUGAGCCAACCUCAGGGGACCCCUGAGCAUUCAGAUGAUCCCAAGUUAGAAGGGACGGAUGCUGUACUUCAAAAUGCCAUUCAUAAGAUGCACAGACUCGACAAGAUAUUGGCCAAAAGACGAAUUAGAGAAAAGGAAAUUAAAAAGCAAGGCCUAGAAAUGAGAAUUAAGCUGUGGGAAGAGCUCAAGUCUGCAAAAAACACUGAAGACUUGGAAAAUGACGAGGAGCUGGAAAACACUAAAAAGUUUUUGUACUUGACUUCCAAAUCUGCAGGGACAGCAGCUG
rnacentral:lncRNA from 1 species